rnacentral:rRNA from 13 species
GUCGACGGCACAUGAAAGAUUUUUUUUGAUGGCGAGUGGCGUACUGGUGAGUAAUAUCUGGGAAUCUACCUUAAGAAGUAGGAUAACUAUUGGAAACGAUAGCUAAUACUACAUAAUAUUAUUUAUUUAUAAAUAAUCGAAGUGGGGUGUAUUUUUUCUCAUGUCUUUAGAUGAGCCUAGAUAAGAUUAGUUUGUAGGUGAGGUAAAAGCUUACCUAGACUUUGAUCUUUAGCUGGUCUGAGAGGAUGAUCAGCCACACUGGAACUGAGAUACGGUCCAGACUCCUACGGGAGGCAGCAGUGGGGAAUAUUGCACAAUGAGGGAAACCUUGAUGCAGCUAUGCCGCGUGUAUGAAGAAGGCCUUAGGGUUGUAAAGUACUUUCAGUAAGAAAGAAGAUAUAUGUAAUAAUACUAUAUAUAUUUGACGUUACUUACAAAAGAAGUAUCGGCUAACUCCGUGCCAGCAGCCGCGGUAAUACGGAGGAUACUAGCGUUAAUCGGAAUUAUUGGGCGUAAAGAGCACGUAGGUGGUUUAUUAUGUCAGAUGUGAAAUAUUUAAGCUUAACUUAAAAAAUGCAUUUGAGACUAAUGAACUAGAGUUUCAUAGAGGAAGGUGGAAUUCCAGGUGUAGCGGUGAAAUGCGUAGAUAUCUGGAGGAAUAUCAGUGGCGAAGGCGGCCUUCUGGAUGAAAACUGACACUGAGGUGCGAAAGCAUGGGGAGCAAACAGGAUUAGAUACCCUGGUAGUCCAUGCUGUAAACGAUGUCAACUUGAAGGUUGUAUUUUUAUAUUAUGGCUUUCGUAGCUAACGCGUUAAGUUGACCGCCUGGGGAGUACGACCGCAAGGUUAAAACUCAAAUGAAUUGACGGGGGCCCGCACAAGCGGUGGAGCAUGUGGUUUAAUUCGAUGCAACGCGAAGAACCUUACCUGGUCUUGACAUCCAGCAAAUUUUGCAGAAAUGUAGAAGUGCCCUUACGGGAAUGCUGAGACAGGUGCUGCAUGGCUGUCGUCAGCUCGUGUUGUGAAAUGUUGGGUUAAGUCCUAUAACGAGCGCAACCCUUAUUCUUUGUUGCCAUCAGGUUAUGCUGGGAACUUAAAGGAGACUGCCUGUGAUAAACAGGAGGAAGGUGGGGACGACGUCAAGUCAUCAUGGCCCUUACGACCAGGGCUACACACGUGCUACAAUGGUGUAUACAAAUGGAAGCGACCUUGCCAAAGUAAGCAAAUCUAAUAAAAUACAUCUAAAUUCGGAUUGAAGUCUGCAACUCGACUUCAUGAAGUUGGAAUCGCUAGUAAUCGUGGAUCANAAUGCCACGGUGAAUACGUU